UACAGAGGGUGCGAGCGUUAAUCGGAAUUACUGGGCGUAAAGCGUGCGUAGGCGGUUUGAUAAGCUGGAUGUGAAAUCCCCGGGCUUAACCUGGGAACUGCAUUCAGGACUGUUUGACUAGAGUCUGGGAGAGGGUGGUGGAAUUUCCUGUGUAGCGGUGAAAUGCGUAGAUAUAGGAAGGAACAUCAGUGGCGAAGGCGACUGCCUGGCCCAAGACUGACGCUGAGGCACGAAAGCGUGGGUAGCAAACAGG
rnacentral:rRNA from 1 species